GGAGUUCCCUGGAGAAGGGGGCUGGCUUAGGGCCCUCGCAGGGGUCCGGAGACCUCUCCUGGUCGGGCUGGGAGCUGCUUUUGGCCUUGUCUGGGCCGGGCACAGUACCUGUGGGCAGAGAUGGGGUAGCCACGGGGCCCCACCCUUGCCCUUGGCAACUCAGGAACUAAGGCUGGGUAAAUGCAGUGUGAGCACCAGAGCAGGGAGGGGCUCUGGGCAGCAGGGCCAGGGUGUGUGAAGGCCCCAGGGCCCGAAGGAGCUGCGGUAGUGGUGGGUAUGGGGAAGCUGGAGCCAGGUUCCGCCUGGGCAGCAUCUGCUCCCCAGUGGGGCUGAGGCUCUGUUCCUCCCUCUGGCCUCCCCAGGCUGGCUCAGGCGUGGGCAGCUGUCAGGGGGCAGGGAAGAGAAAGGGGUCAGGCAGAGUGCUGACUCACUGCUUUGCCUGGGGUCCUGAGACCCCCUCCUCUGGGCCUCAAGAAGCCACAGAACUCCCACCCCCGGCACAGAGCUGUGCCCACCCUCAGGAUGGAGGCGCCUGGACCAUCCCAGAAGAGGGCCAGGGCUGCCGAGGGGCCGUGAGACUAGGGGGACGCUCAGGACGCCCCUCUCUCAGGCUGGAGUUGCAACUCCCUCGGGUGGGGGCUGGGAGACCUGCUGUUAGUGGGGAGCCGUUUGGUGCUGUUGCAUUAGAUGGAGGUCCAUUCACACUGACCCCGCAGCUCCGGCCAGCAGAGCCUCCCACGGCCAGCUCCGGACGCCGACACCUUCUCUCACUGGGGCCAGGCCUAUGCUUGGCAGGGACACCAGGCAGGGCCACAGGCCACGGCCUGUCUCUAGCCAAGGGCAAGGCUAGCUGUGCCCCGGGGUCAGCCUGUGUCAGGCCGGGUCUGGGACCCUGCAGGGAGCAAGGUUCUCAGUCAGCCACAUUGUGGUCACCUUCUGACGAGCUCUGUCCUGUUAGAACUGUACCAGGCCAGUCCUCAGGGGCAGACGCUGAGACGGGGUUUGGGUUGCAGAGUGAGUACUGGUGAUCAGCACCUGGGAAGGGGUGGGGAGGGUGCAGGGCCGGGCAGGGACUGUAGGGGCGGCUUGCGUUAGGCUUGGCUGGCACAGCCUUUGUGGCUUGCUUGGACCCAUAUGCGGCCGCCCAGGGAUGGGAGACCCUGGUGAGGUGUCUGUGGCCCAAGCCCACCCUGAAGGAGCUGUGGGGCCGACUGCCAACCACGCCAGACAGCAAGGCCUUCUCAGGUCUCCUGCUUCCCUCUAGGCCGGCCUGACUCAGCUCACCUCAUUCUCAACCUCACCAAUCAACAUCAAUCACAGAGCGUCUGAAAGGAGGGAUUUUCAUUUUCCUUUAAAGUGAAAAGGUAAAAACUGCACUUACUAAGCCAGGCCGGUGGGGGCUCUGUGAGCCCCUCUGCACAGGAAGCCUCAGAGAUGCCGCAUGGUGUUCCCGGGGCAUCCUGGCCAAGGUGGGAGAAUGCUGCCGGGCUCGUUGGGACCCCCAGCCUCCGUGAGGGCCUGUGGGAUGCCCUCAGGGGCCGCCCCCUGGUUCUCGUGCCGUGGAGGCAGCAGACGAUGCCGGCCCACAUCCUUGUCGGGCAGAGGGGCUGCCGACUGGCCCCUGGCCGUGGCUCUUGCUGGGAGCUGCGUGGCCUGGGCUUGGACCCGCAUCCCCCUCUUGCUGGCUGCCUGCUCUUGCCAGUGGCUGAGCCUGGCUUCUCCCAUGACAGUGGCCGCAGACAGAGGGGACCCAUGCCACCAGGCAGGGUGAGCUCAGGGAACGCCAGUUCUCCUCUCCCCUGGCUCUGAGGGGUUCAGCGGUGCCCUUGGUGUGUCUGGGGGAUUUUGGGAAGUCCCAGGUCUGGGCUCUGGGUCAGGAAGCAGGAGCAAGGAGAGACACUGCACCCAGUCCUCCCCAGCUGCAGGAAAUGGGGACAGAAAAGCUAAGCGGACGGAAGAUGCAUUGUGCGCAAGCUACAGGAGGCCGGCCCAGCCCCGGUGGCUGCCGGGAUGUGAUCAUUGGCAGGGAUGAGAUUGACAGGGACGGUCAGCUGGAGAGGACAGGGCACAGCUGGACGAGGGCAGGGACGGCCACAGGCUUCCCACAGGGCGGAAGGGAAAGGCUUCCAGUCCCACUCGUAAGGGCUGCCUGCCACCCUGUAGCCACUGUCUCCUCCCUUGUGGACGGGACGAUGGUGGCACCUUUGUUAUGGUUGGGUUAACAUAUAUAUGUUAACAAUGUGUUAACCCCAGCGUGUGGGGAGGACUAGAUGGGAGAGGUCCCUAGUGCCGAGGCUCCCAGCCUUGCUCGGACCCUGGGAGCCAUCACCACCUGCACUGUGCUCCUCCCACAGGUGUCUGGGGGUGAGGUGAGAGUUCUGCCAAAGCUGGAGCCAGGGUUGGACCCCCGGAGCUCCUUGGUCGGCCCCUGGAGGGAGAGUGGUGUGUUUGCACCACAGCCCCGGUGGCCCAGCUCUGCCCAUCUUCAUCCCAGGUGGCAGCUGCUGCCCAGCUCUCUGGCCGGUGCCUCUUAGAUGGUGUCACCAUCUGCAGAAGAAAACAGAAGUGCUGACUGAUAUUUGGUGAAGGCCUGCUAUGCUGGCGGCACCUGAUGCAGCAGGUGAAGUCCGGGGGGCAGCGGCCAAGGCUCCCUGUCCCUCAGUGUCCCUGCCCGUGAAACGGGCAUAGCUAACUCCUGUGGCCACCUUGAGGACGGAUUCUCACUCAUUCUGUCACCCAUGCUGGAGUGCAGCGGCAUGAUCUCGGCUACUGCAACCUCUGCCUCCCGGGAUCCAGCGAUUCUCGUGACUCAGCCUCCUGAGUAGCUGGGAAUACUGGCUUGCGCUACCACAGCUGGCUGAUUUUUGAAUUUUUAGUAGAGACGGGGUUUUACCAUUUUGGCUGGGCUGGUCUCGAACUCCUGGGCUCAAGUGAUCCACCUGCCUUGGCCUCCCAGAGUGCUGGGAUUACAGGUGUCAGCCACCGCGCCCAGCUUACUUAUCAGUUAGAGGGAAAAGUGGUAACUUUACUGUGAGAAACUUGUGGAUGCCAGUUUAACCAGAGGAUCAAAGGUACCAUUGCUGCUGGUGGGCAGUCAGCGUCCCAAGCGCUGGGAAGGACGCCUGGCUCUUGUGCCGAUCUGUUCAUGCAGAAAUGUCAGGAACACUCAACGCAGGGACAAUCUACAAAACAACCAGUUUGCAUUCUUCAAAAGUUUCAGUGUCAUAAAAGAUUUUUAAAAAGACAGGUCCAAUGUAUAUACUGCGAAAAUAGUAAAACAAUAAAAUAUAAAAGUAAAAAGACUGAACUAACCUUGUCUUUACAUUGAUGUGGAGUCAACCGCUGCUUCCAGUUGUGGAGGAGUAGCUGCUGCCAGGAGAAAGGACUACAAUGUACAAUAAUGCCUACUCUACACUCAUCUAAUGAAAGUUCAGACCAAGCCCCACAGAGAUCUGCAGGGGAGACUGAGAUUGAGGGUUGAAUCUUACCAAGGUAGCAGGACUUGGGAAACACUUUGGGCUUUCCACAUCAACACU